UCACUAGGUCCUGCUGGGGCUUCCCAAGGAGUCCUUCCCUACAAUCUGCACGCGAUGACGGACAAGGAAAUGUGCUGCCGGGCUGAACUUUUGCUCUCUGCUUCUUGUACUGGCAGAUUCCUGCUCUAGCUGGAAGGAGGAGGAGGAGGAAGUACCGAACUCUGCUACACCUGUUUGCCUGCCCGCCGGCCAGCCUCAAACUAAAACUCCCAAAUUGGCACUGAACUCGAAUGAAGCGCAGGAGAGCAAAGAAAGGAAACUACCCCUCAAGCCAGUCCACGGCACAGUAGUUCCUUCGAUGCUCGCUCCCGCCAGGGGGCAGCGCUUGCCGCAUGGCGACGGGGAAGGUUCAUUGCAGGGGGGAAAGGGGGCUUCCUGUAGAGCAGCGCAGACCAGAAGGGCACCUAACCGCCUCUCCCGCCCCUUAGCAAAUAAACUGCACACACUGGCUCGUGAGGGUUGUUGCAUGGCCUUGAUUCGCUUAACCCUUAGAAGGUUUACAAUGGAACUUUAUCAGUGCUACCAUUGCUGCUACUGUUGCCUGAGCAACAGCGGAAUAACUGCUGCCUUCACAGCUAGCAACUGUAUAUCUAAAUUUAAAGGAUGGAUGGAUGAAAGUUGUGCUUCAAGCAAGUGUCAGUCAGCACUGUUUUCAAUAUCCACGUUCUAGUGAUAAGGCUGAUUGAUACCCACAAGACUACCUCCAUUGGUACCAGUUCCAGAAGUAGGCAAACCAGCUCCACACAUCUGUAAGGAAAAGACGUUGGGGAUCUCCACUUGACUCACAAGGGAAUCAAAAAAUGUCAUCAACGAACUUGAAGGCUGCAAUAAAACAACAACAUUUGUCUAAAUCAA